GGAUUCCAAAUGUGUAGAUGGGUAUUGCAUUUGUACUAACAAAGACUACGAUUACCACACUUGUUUGCCUAAUGCAAAUGGAUGCAAAAUAUCAGAGGAUGCUGUUACAGCUCUUGGUAGACCUCGAUAUAACAACCAUCUACAGAAGCCUACCUAAAGCUGCACGCCUGGCAGCAGCAGCUCCAGUCAGUAUGAAGUGCACGUAUUGUCUGUUUACGAGGUCAUCAACAGACGUCCCCCGGCCGCUGGUGACGCUACUGUUAACAUUUUCAGUGGUGGAAGGUCAGACAGACCUCUUGUACUUGUACUUGCAAGCUACGAACCUGUUAAUUGGAUUCUCAAGUUACCAGCUGACAUCACAAUAAGUAGCGUGAUAUUGGUUGCCUUCUACGUGCAUGAAAGCUAAGUCAGUGGAGAAGUGGACCAAGUACAGGCGAUUGAACGAAAGAGUUACCUCGGAUCGUGGCCAAGAGGAUAUGGGAGUGA